rnacentral:rRNA from 1 species
ACGCUAGCUACAGGCUUAACACAUGCAAGUCGAGGGGCAGCAUGACGAUAGCUUGCUAUUGUUGAUGGCGACCGGCGCACGGGUGAGUAACGCGUAUCCAACCUGCCCUUGUCCAUCGGAUAACCCGUCGAAAGGCGGCCUAACACGAUAUGCAGUUCUCCGCAGGCAUCUAACGAGAACGAAAUGUGAAGGAGAAGGAUGGGGAUGCGUCUGAUUAGCUUGUUGGCGGGGUAACGGCCCACCAAGGCGACGAUCAGUAGGGGUUCUGAGAGGAAGGUCCCCCACAUUGGAACUGAGACACGGUCCAAACUCCUACGGGAGGCAGCAGUGAGGAAUAUUGGUCAAUGGGCGAGAGCCUGAACCAGCCAAGUAGCGUGCAGGAUGACGGCCCUAUGGGUUGUAAACUGCUUUUAUGCGGGGAUAAAGUGAGCCACGUGUGGCUUAUUGCAGGUACCGCAUGAAUAAGGACCGGCUAAUUCCGUGCCAGCAGCCGCGGUAAUACGGAAGGUCCGGGCGUUAUCCGGAUUUAUUGGGUUUAAAGGGAGCGUAGGCCGUCUGGUAAGCGUGUUGUGAAAUGUCGGGGCUCAACCUGGGCAUUGCAGCGCGAACUGUCAGACUUGAGUGCGCGGGAAGUAGGCGGAAUUCGUCGUGUAGCGGUGAAAUGCUUAGAUAUGACGAAGAACUCCGAUUGCGAAGGCAGCCUGCUGUAGCGCAACUGACGCUGAAGCUCGAA